CCGGGUGUGUAAGCGCAGCGAUGCGUUGAGCUAACCGGUACUAAUGAACCGUGAGGCUUAACCUUA
rnacentral:rRNA from 1 species